rnacentral:rRNA from 1 species
UACGGAGGGUGCAAGCGUUAAUCGGAAUUACUGGGCGUAAAGCGUGCGCAGGCGGUUUGUUAAGUCCGUUGUGAAAGCCCCGGGCUCAACCUGGGAAUGGCAGUGGAAACUAGGGGACUGGAAUCUGGCAGAGGGGGGUGGAAUGCCGCGUGUAGCAGUGAAAUGCGUAGAGAUGCGGCGGAACACCGAUGGCGAAGGCAGCCCCCUGGGCUGAGAUUGACGCUCAGGCACGAAAGCGUGGGGAGCAAACAGG